AGCUUUACAACAGGCUACAUAAAAAGCACCAGCAAAGUCAGUACAAACUAAAAUUUCAUACAGACGAUGACUUGUUCCUACUGCUCUAGCCACUGAAAACAGGAA